rnacentral:rRNA from 1 species
AGCGAACGCUGGCGGCAUGCUUAACACAUGCAAGUCGCACGGGCAGGGCAACCUGUCAGUGGCGGACGGGUGAGUAACGCGUAGGUAUCUAUCCUUGGGUGGGGGACAACGGUUGGAAACGACUGCUAAUACCGCAUGAUAACUGAGGUUUAAAGGCGCAAGUCGCCUGAGGAGGAGCCUGCGUACGAUUAGCUAGUUGGUGGGGUAAAGGCCUACCAAGGCUGUGAUCGUUAGCUGGUCUGAGAGGAUGAUCAGCCACAUUGGGACUGAGACACGGCCCAAACUCCUACGGGAGGCAGCAGUGGGGAAUAUUGGACAAUGGGCGAAAGCCUGAUCCAGCAAUG